rnacentral:rRNA from 1 species
UACGUAGGGUGCGCGCGUUGUCCGGAAUUAUUGGGCGUAAAGAGCUCGUAGGCGGUGUGUCGCGUCGGCCGUGAAAACCUGCAGCUUAACUGUGGGCUUGCGGUCGAUACGGGCAUCACUGGAGUUCGGCAGGGGAGACUGGAAUUCCUGGUGUAGCGGUGAAAUGCGCAGAUAUCAGGAGGAACACCGGUGGCGAAGGCGGGUCUCUGGGCCGAUACUGACGCUGAGGAGCGAAAGCGUGGGGAGCGAACAGG